rnacentral:lncRNA from 1 species
GCAAAUUUAGGGUUGGUGACUGUGAAGCAGAAGUUGUAUAUUAAUUGGGUUUUGGUUUCAACAUUAAACACACAGAAACUGAGAUGGCUAGAACCACUCUUUCUUCCCUGUCUUUAUUUUUCUGUAUUCUCCUCAUAAUCACCUUCACUAUCUUCAUGCAACCAAUUUCAGUAAGAACAGGUUUGUCUCUGUUACUAAAUCAUCCAAAACGUAAAUUAAAGAGGAGAUUUAUAAAUAGAUUUUGUAAGAUUAAAUUAGUUUUUAAAUUAAUUUGUAAUCAUAUAAUUAUAAUGACUUUGGAUGUGUAAAAGUAAGAUUUCUGAAUGAUAUGAAUUUGCAGAAUUGAAACUAAGGGGUCCCAAGCCAAGACCACCUCCUUCACCCACGCCUAACUCGCACCCAGUUCCUGGUGAUCCUGGUAAUCCUUCAUCCAACCAUGGCUGAAAUAUUACAACAAAUCGUAAGGGCUUCAAGUUUUCUUUGGAUUCUCAUUUUGGUUAUCAACUUUUACUGUAUUUGGUUUUAUGUUAUAAAUAACACUGUGUAAGACUAAGAAAAGAUUUACCCUGGAUGUUAUGCACAAUUAUAGAUUAUAAGGAAAUUAAAACCUUUUUAUUAUUCAUUUUAUUUUUACUGGGAUUUUAG